GGGAAACUGAGGCUAAUCCCCGAUAACGCUUUGCUCCUGGAAGGGGCAAAGCCGGAAACGCUCCGGCGCCACAGGAUGCGGCUGCGGUCGAUUAGGUAGACGGUGGGGUAACGGCCCACCGUGCCCAUAAUCGGUACGGGUUGUGAGAGCAAGAGCCCGGAGACGGAAUCUGAGACAAGAUUCCGGGCCCUACGGGGCGCAGCAGGCGCGAAACCUUUACACUGUACGAAAGUGCGAUAAGGGGACUCCGAGUGUGAAGGCAUAGAGCCUUCACUUUUGUACACCGUAAGGUGGUGCACGAAUAAGGACUGGGCAAGACCGGUGCCAGCCGCCGCGGUAAUACCGGCAGUCCGAGUGAUGGCCGAUCUUAUUGGGCCUAAAGCGUCCGUAGCUGGCUGAACAAGUCCGUUGGGAAAUCUGUCCGCUUAACGGGCAGGCGUCCAGCGGAAACUGUUCAGCUUGGGACCGGAAGACCUGAGGGGUACGUCUGGGGUAGGAGUGAAAUCCUGUAAUCCUGGACGGACCGCCGGUGGCGAAAGCGCCUCAGGAGAACGGAUCCGACAGUGAGGGACGAAAGCUAGGGUCUCGAACCGGAUUAGAUACCCGGGUAGUCCUAGCUGUAAACGAUGUCCGCUAGGUGUGGCGCAGGCUACGAGCCUGCGCUGUGCCGUAGGGAAGCCGAGAAGCGGACCGCCUGGGAAGUACGUCUGCAAGGAUGAAACUUAAAGGAAUUGGCGGGGGAGCACUACAACCGGAGGAGCCUGCGGUUUAAUUGGACUCAACGCCGGACAUCUCACCAGCCCCGACAGUAGUAAUGACGGUCAGGUUGAUGACCUUACCCGAGGCUACUGAGAGGAGGUGCAUGGCCGCCGUCAGCUCGUACCGUGAGG
rnacentral:rRNA from 1 species